rnacentral:rRNA from 1 species
GUUUACGGCCAUACCACCCUGAGCAAGCCCGAUCCCAUCUGAUCUCAGAAACUAAGCAGGGUCAGCCAUAGUUAGUACUUGGAUGGGAGACCACCUAGGAAGACCAGGUGCUGUAGGCA